CGGGGCGUGGCGCAGCCUGGUAGCGCGCAUCGUUCGGGACGAUGAGGUCGUGGGUUCAAAUCCCGCCGCCCCGA
rnacentral:tRNA from 1 species